GUCUCUGUAGCGAAAAGGAUAACGCGUUGGACUUCUAAUUCAAAGGUCAUGGAUUCGAUUCCCAUCAAGGAUG